rnacentral:rRNA from 1 species
UGGGGAAUAUUGCACAAUGGACGGAAGUCUGAUGCAGCAACGCCGCGUGCGGGAUGACGGCCUUCGGGUUGUAAACCGCUUUUUCUCAUGACGAAGUUUUUUGACGGUAGUGGGGGAAGAAGCACCGGCUAACUACGUGCCAGCAGCCGCGGUGAUACGUAGGGUGCGAGCGUUGUCCGGAAUUAUUGGGCGUAAAGAGCUUGCAGGCGGUUUGUCGCGUCGAUAGUGCAAACUCAGUGCUUAACGCUGAGCCUGCUGUUGAUACGGGCAGACUAGAGGAAGGUAGGGGAGAAUGGAAUUCCCGGUGGAGCGGUGGAAUGCGCAGAUAUCGGGAGGAACACCGGUGGCGAAGGCGGUUCUCUGGGCCUUUCCUGACGCUGAGAAGCGAAAGCGUGGGGAGCGAACAGG